rnacentral:rRNA from 1 species
UGGGGAAUAUUGCACAAUGGGCGCAAGCCUGAUGCAGCCAUGCCGCGUGUAUGAAGAAGGCCUUCGGGUUGUAAAGUACUUUCAGUCGGGAGGAAGGUGGUAAGGUUAAUAACCUUAUCAAUUGACGUUACCGACAGAAGAAGCACCGGCUAACUCCGUGCCAGCAGCCGCGGUAAUACGGAGGGUGCAAGCGUUAAUCGGAAUUACUGGGCGUAAAGCGCACGCAGGCGGUUUGUUAAGUCAGAUGUGAAAUCCCCGGGCUCAACCUGGGAACGGCAUCUGAUACUGGCAAGCUUGAGUCUCGUAGAGGGGGGUAGAAUUCCAGGUGUAGCGGUGAAAUGCGUAGAGAUCUGGAGGAAUACCGGUGGCGAAGGCGGCCCCCUGGACGAAGACUGACGCUCAGGUGCGAAAGCGUGGGGAGCAAACAGG